GUUGCCUGCCGAACAGAUCGCAACUUUUUUCCAGCGCCGGUCGCGCACGAUUUUCCCCCCUGAAUUUUCCGCGAACGUGCGCGGGAAACUCCACGUGUGUGUGUGUGUUGUUUGUGUGUUAAAAGCGAUGCAGCGAUGUGUGUGAAACGUGUUCGAGGUUUAGUUAACAGUGCCUGUAGGUGCGUUCGAAAUUAACCUGAUAGAACAACAAGCAAACACAUUAGCAGAUAGAAAAGCCCGUGCGUGUGUGUGUGUGUGCGCGCGCGUUACAGCAGAAUCUAAAGCGGCCCACACCGAAAAAGGGGCUUUGUGAAACAUCCUAACAGCACACGAAGAACAAAUUGCACACUACACCUUCUCACACAAACAGACAAAAAAACACUCAGUGUGGGAAGGUGGAAAUGUGCCCCCCCCCCAGAAACAGGAAAACAGGAGAACAGGGAAAAUGUUUCAGGGCAUUAGUGUCGUCCUGGGUGGCACCUAACUCGCACGCCCGCCUUUCUUCGCAGUGCGCUCGCACCGUACAGGCCAUUCAUCUCACCGGCGAGGGCCACGCUGGAGCCGACGUUGCGCGCGAUCGCUGGCGGGGUGUGGCGGAUGCAGCAGCAGAGCUGCUGCAGCCCGGGCACACCGUGCAGCACCAGGAUGAAGCCGCUGCGGAACCGGGCGUUCAUGUAGCAGUAGAUGAUCGGGUUGUAGCAGCUGUGCGACAUCGCGAGCCAGUGGAAGGCGAACCAGAAGUACGGCAGCAGGUCCCACGAGGACGGGAGCUUCAUCAGCUGCGGGCGAGAAGAGACAGAGAGGUGUAAUGCUGCAAUGGCGAGCCGGAAACGGAAACGGUUCCUCUCCUUACCAUUAGGAAGUUGAACGGCAGCCAGCAGAUGGUGAACACGAUUACCACGGUCACCAUCAUCUUGAUCAUCUGGAACGGGAAGAAAUCAACACCGAGGAUGAAAAUUGGUUGUGGAAAGCUCCCGACUAGCGAAGCGCACCACACUGGAACCGGCCAACGAACAGCCAAAGGGUUUCGCUUAUAGGAAUCGUGCUGGAAAAUGGACUGGAACCUGUCGGCCAUCCAGGUGUCCCGAACAAAAUCCGACUAUCGCCGAAGAAAAACAUUCAAACUUACUGGUUGCUACCGAUCGCUGGGUACUGGGCUCUGUUGUUUUAGGUUUAAGGGGCCCGUAAAGGGACCGUUUUGCACACCCUGUGUGUGUGUGUGUCUAGCGCUUUCGUUUAGCAGUAAUUUACUUGCGCCAUUUAAUUCGCGCUUUCCGAGCUUUGCGCUUUAAAUCUUUGGCUCCGAUAACGCGGCUGUUUUUUUUAGCUUCAAAAAUUUCCAUGCAAGCAAGUGACAGAGAAAGAGAGAGGAAGGAAAAUUGUCAGGCGGCACGAUGGUGUAAUUUAUGCUCUCGUCAGUGGGAUGGUUUUUUUGUGUGCGUGUGUGUGGUGUGCCCUAUUUCCCUCAUUCUUUAUUCAUAAUAUCAAACGGUUUGCUGUACCGUCCGAAUAUUCGCAGCAAAAGUUUUGCGGUGCCUCAGUACUCCCACAACAACUGUGUGUGUUUGUGUGUGUGUGUUUGACGGUACAUCCAGCAGCACCGCUUCCCUCCGGUGCAGGCUAAUGAAAAUAUUGUGUAAAUACUUUUUACACGACAGGCAAAAAGCGACCGACCGGGCGGAUACGGCGUUCCGGUUUGGAAUGCAGAAGGUUUUUUUUUAUUCCUAUUACACAGUGGAUUUGUACGGACUGGUGUCUGUCUCGGCUUACCGGAAUGGAAGGCAAAAAGCGCACACCCCAAAACGUACAGUGGGCGCCUCUGUGUGUUUUUUUCCUCUCCUUUUUACAGGCGUUUUUACAAGUGACAGUGUAGUACCAACUGCUCCGGCGUCUUGACAAAGCUCCAAGUGAAGCUUACUGAUAAUGAUAAGUAGAUCGUUCGCUCAAACCCACUUGUUGAAGUUUUUUUUUUUUUUUUUUUUUUUUGGGAUUCUGAUCCGCUUUGAGCGUUGGAGUGAAGUUUUGACGACUUCUUCGUACCGAAUAGGCAAACGAGGCUUUCUCGAAUUAAUUAUUACAGAGGAUAGAGAGAGAGAGAGAACCAAAACAAAAAAAGGUUUUACCUUUUAAUCUGACGUAUUAAGUGACGAACGCUUGCUUUGGUAGGCGACACUUUCGGUUUGUUUGCUUUCGCUCCUCAUUAAUUAAGUAACAAAUUAUACGCUAAACAAUAUUACUACACGGGGCGCCUUUUUUCAAUUGCAGUGGUAUGGAGUUGGGGGCUUUUUCGCCCUAUAGUCAGGCUCCCCGCUUAUGGAAAUCCCUCUGAGUCUAGUAUCGUAAUUACAGCUUCGAAGGUUCUAUGUAA